GUCAACGUGGUAUUGGAGGAACGCUAUUGGUCAUUUUGUGAUUGGUGGGAUUCACUGAUCGGUCAACUUUUAAUGUGAACAUGGAAUUGGAACCAGGAACGGGAACAUUUCAAAAUAAAUCUGGUUAAUUUUAAAGGAUUAUCAUUUUAUCUUCUUUCUUUUUUCUUUUUUUUUUUUUUUUUUUUUUUUUUUAAAGACGAUUUAAAUAAAAUAUAAGAUAAAGAGAUUACAAGUUAUAAUAAGCAACUAAGAGUAGAUAAGAUGUAUGAAAUGAAUAUGACAUGUUAAUCCUCGACUUUUAGGUCAGUAACCGAUAGCGAGGCUUCCUCCCAUCUUCUGCUAGCUGUAUGAGGAAUCUGGUGUUCGCGGAAAAAGAUCGAUCUGUCGUUCGCAGUCAAAGACAUGGAACCACGGCCGCUCAGGCGCUCGCUCGCAGACACUCCGACACUCGCUCACGGACACUCCGGUGCUCGCCCUUCUGUCAGACGCUCGCGGAGAACCCACCAGACUCGCUCGCUCGUGGAGAACCCAAGGUGCUCGCUCGCGGAGACCCCGCUCGCUCGCAGAGACCCAAGGCGCUCGCCCGUUGCUUGUCCUAGAGAACCCAUGACGCUUGCUUCGCUCAGAGCAAGACGUUGCUCGCUCCUCUGUCAGACGAACCGCACGCGAAGAACCCAAAACGCUAGCACACGGAAAACCCAAAACGUCGCAUGCGGAGGACCCACCAGGCUUGUUCGCUUGUGGACAAAUUUUCCCUCUCUCUCGGUCAGAGUCCUUCACUUUGCGCGUUCGCUGUCGGAAACAUUUCUCGUUUGCUCACUCUCUGUUCGUGUCUGCAAGAAAAGAAAUUGUGUGAAGAUGACUCGUGCGUGAGAGUGAAAAAGACGGAAGAUGAACAGCGGUAAGAAAAAUCCCAAGAAGUGGAGGACGGUGGCGAGUAGAUUCUUUAUACUAAGUAGCUUCUUUUUAUCCACCCAAAAUAGAUGUGUAAAACAUUGAGAUCUUAUAUUCUAUUUAUAUUUAAUCAUUUUAAAAGAACCAUUUGAUUUAAAACAUACAUAAUUAAAGAUAGCUUUUUUUCCAGUGAGCUCAGCAUAGGGUGAGUUCAAAAACGCUCACCCUAUCUGAGCCGUUGGAUAUUAUGUAAAGUCAUCUGAACCGUCUUUUAAUUAUAUCGUUUUUUAAUGUUUUGGUUGUACACAUCUUCAUACAGACUUAAGCAUUAUCGUUUUUUAAUAUUUUGGUUGCUCAUUGGAAUUUAUAUCUCACGUAAAACUAAAAAGACCUACUACUAUCUCGAAGUGAUAUACCAAAGUUAUAUAAUAUAUCACUGUUUACAUUAUAGUUAAAAUUAAAUGAAAAUUAUUUAUACUGUGACAUUCAUCCUCUCAUUAGAUAUUGUCGUUCGAAACUCAUCUGGUUCAUGUGAGAGAGAAAACGCAAUAGACAUGAACGAUAUCCGCGACAAACAAAAUCAGGAAGAAGAUAAAAUCGAUAUAGAAAUCGCAAUAGACGAAAUUUGGAAAAACAAAAUCGAUGAAAUCGCGAUAGGCGAAAUCCCAAUAGCCGAAAUCGAGAUGAAAAAAAAUCGGUUAGAGUUACAAAAAUCGGGGAAUCACGAGUCAAGAAAGCAACCGAUCAACUAGGGAAACAGAGAAUCAACUUGGAAACGGAAGCAAAAAUUAAAAUCUUUACUUGCGAUAGAAGAAGAGUCCAACUGAUACCAUGUGAAAUUCCUCAAUCCUUCAUGGGAGCAGAUCUAGAGAAAGCAAUUCUUGGGUUUCCAAAAGUAAAAGUAUAGUCAAUACAAUAUAAAGUAUUUAUAUGACUCUAUUACACUAAC
rnacentral:lncRNA from 1 species